UACGAAGGGGGCUAGCGUUGCUCGGAAUUACUGGGCGUAAAGGGCGCGUAGGCGGCACUGUUAGUCAGGCGUGAAAUUCCUGGGCUCAACCUGGGGACUGCGCUUGAUACGGCAGAGCUUGAGGAUGGAAGAGGGUCGCGGAAUUCCCAGUGUAGAGGUGAAAUUCGUAGAUAUUGGGAAGAACACCGGUGGCGAAGGCGGCGACCUGGUCCAGAUCUGACGCUGAGGUGCGAAAGCGUGGGGAGCAAACAGG
rnacentral:rRNA from 1 species